rnacentral:rRNA from 1 species
UGCAAGUCGAACGGUAACAUAGAUUGCUUGCAAUCUGAUGACGAGUGGCGCACGGGUGCGUAACGCGUAUGCAAUCUACCUUUUACAGGAGAAUAGCCCAGAGAAAUUUGGAAUAAUGCUCCAUAAUAUCAUUUAUCAGCAUUGAUUUAUGAUUAAAGCUCCGGCGGUAAAAGAUGAGCAUGCGUUCUAUUAGCUAGUAGGUGAGGUAACGGCUCACCUAGGCUACGAUAGAUAGGGGCCCUGAGAGGGGGAUCCCCCACACUGGUACUGAGACACGGACCAGACUCCUACGGGAGGCAGCAGUGAGGAAUAUUGGACAAUGGAGGCAACUCUGAUCCAGCCAUGCCGCGUGCAGGAUGACUGCCCUAUGGGUUGUAAACUGCUUUUAUAUAGGAGGAAACACUCCCACGUGUGGGGGCUUGACGGUACUAUAUGAAUAAGGAUCGGCUAACUCCGUGCCAGCAGCCGCGGUAAUACGGAGGAUCCAAGCGUUAUCCGGAAUCAUCGGGUUUAAAGGGUCCGCAGGCGGCCUGUUAAGUCAGAGGUGAAAUCCUACAGCUCAACUGUAGAACUGCCUUUGAUACUGAUAGGCUUGAGUUAUUGUGAAGUGGUUAGAAUGUGUGGUGUAGCGGUGAAAUGCUUAGAUAUCACACAGAAUACCCAUUGCGAAGGCAGAUCACUAACAAUAUACUGACGCUCAUGGACGAAAGCGUGGGGAGCGAACGGGAUUAGAUACCCCGGUAGUCCACGCCGUAAACGAUGGAUACUAACUGUUCGUCCCGCUUGCGGGAUGAGUGGUCAAGCGAAAGUGAUAAGUAUCCCACCUGGGGAGUACGCUCGCAAGAGUGAAACUCAAAGGAAUUGACGGGGGCCCGCACAAGCG